rnacentral:piRNA from 1 species
UCCAAAGGUCUUUAAGAUUUAUUAAUGGUC